UACAGAGGGUGCAAGCGUUAAUCGGAAUUACUGGGCGUAAAGCGAGCGUAGUCGGUUAUUUAAGUCGGAUGUGAAAUCCCCGGGCUCAACCUGGGAAUUGCAUUCGAUACUGGAUAGCUAGAGUUCGGCAGAGGGAAGCGGAAUUUCCGGUGUAGCGGUGAAAUGCGUAGAUAUCGGAAGGAACAUCAGUGGCGAAAGCGGCUUCCUGGACCAGAACUGACGAUCAGGCUCGAAAGCGUGGGGAGCAAACGGG
rnacentral:rRNA from 1 species